CCCAGGAGACCCAGUGCAAACGGCUUCGUCAAAACUAUAAUUUUAUAAAAAAAAUUGAUGAAACUUUGCAGCAUCAGCAUGUAAUUCUGGUACGUGUCAAGCGCAACAAUGCUCUGGCUGCCACCUCUCCUCGUUUCAACCUUUUCUUCUGAUUCUCUCAAAUCAAAUCUCUGUUACCAGUGCACUGCUCACUUCAGAUACAGUUGCCUUUAUUCUAAAUUCUCUUUUAUGCAGGAUGCCAGUGAUUAAAUGUGUAUUUUUGAACACAUGAUCGAGGGAGAAAGAAGAAGUUUCAUUGGUGGAGAAUGGUGUAUCUGAUGUCUUUGUUUGAAGAGUUGAUGGAUAUGAUAAUGAUCUUGUUAUUGAAACCCUUUUGCCUUUGCAAGCCAGCAAUUAUGUUUUGUCUAAAAUCCACUUUUUUCGUUAUUCAUUGCUGGAUGGAUCUGGUCAAUGCCACUAUCAGCUUUAAUGUGAAUUUGAUUUGCAGAACAAUGUCUUGGACAGUUGCUCUUGUAACUCUUCCUCUUCGAGUUUUUACUGCUUUGCAGAGGGAGAGACUGCUGGAACAGCAAAUGAAUGAAAUGCAGGUAGAGUUGGAGACCCUUGUCUGGGAUAGGAAGGAACUUGAAGUUCAUCUUCAAAAUGCCAUUAAAGAAGGCAAAAUUAUGGAGUCCAUGCUAGCUGAACUUGAAGAUGAAAAUGACAACACUAUGGCAAAAAUUGAAUUGUUAGAAGGCGAGUUGCAGUGUCUCAAGGAUGAAACUCUUCAGCUGAAGGAAAUUUGCGGUAAAGAAUGGUGGAGUUUUAAAGUUAAUAACAAAGACAAUGGACAAAUAGUUGGCGGUACUGCUGACAACCUUGCCAUUUCCUAUGGGUUCUCAUCGUGGAAAUCCAAUUUUACGGGGACUGACUUCUUCUUCCGAGACGUGAUGACGCACAAAGACGCUUGGGCCAGUGAAAGCAAGAGUGAUGCUGAAUUUCUCGAUAUCUUAAAGACUGGAAUUGCAGCAAACAGUGGAUCCAUCCACCCCUACAUCCCAGGUGUUAUCCCAAGAAAUAUAGAAAUGAGCAAAGUGCUUGACCAGAGAAGGGGAGUUGCACUUUCACAGUCUCUUUUUAGUGCGGUGUUAUCGCUUUUGGUUGGAAUGAUUAUCUGGGAAGCUGAAGACCCUUGCAUGCCACUUGUGGUGGCUCUUUUCACAGUAGUUGGCAUGUCACUGAAAAGUGUGGUUCAGUUUUUCUCCACCAUAAAGAACAAACCUGCUUCUGAUGCUGUUGCUUUAUUAAGCUUCAACUGGUUUAUACUUGGCACACUUACAUACCCAACACUGCCAAAGGUUGCCCGUGUGUUGUCUCCCCUCGCCUUCAGGUUUUAUAUGUGGACAGGGAUUUGAUGCAAUUUGCGUAGUGCAUUAAUAUUAAGAAGAAGAACUAGCAAUUUGUGAAAGAACUCCGGCGCGUAAAGAGCUUCAACAUUUUCUUUAUCCUGCCUUUGUAUAUCUACAUCAACACUACCUUCUUUGGUUGGCAUGUGGUGGCUAGGCUUUAUGUUGCAGUACUUUGGGGCUCUAUUUGACCAGAUUCUUUUUAAAUCUGUCAACUCAUAUCAUUGAAUAUUUGAUUAGGUUACGUGAACACUAAUAUUAUUGUCAAAUUGAAUUCAAACUUCAGUAAUGUAGAACAAAGAAUGGAUGUCCCCAGAUAUUGAUGGUGAUUUGAAUUCUUUAAGUCUA